rfam:Aspergillus niger DNA, contig: scaffold669_024, strain: An76, whole genome shotgun sequence.
ACAUACGACCAUAGGGUGUGGAAAACAGGGCUUCCCGUCCGCUCAGCCGUACUUAAGCCACACGCCGGGAGGUUAGUAGUUGGGUGGGUGACCACCAGCGAAUCCCUUCUGUUGUAUGUU